rnacentral:lncRNA from 1 species
UCAUUUUUUUUCAUUUUUCUCAAGCUAUAUAUAUUUUUCUUCUUAUUUUUGUUUUUUUUAGUCUUGAUUUUUUUCCUUUUUUUUUGUUUUCACUCUUCUCUCUCUCUUUUUUUGUCAUAAAAUCUAUUUUUUUUCAAUCUUUAUUUUUUCUUAACGUUUUAAGUAAUUUUUUUUUUGAAACUACUACAACUUUCCGCUAAAAAAUUAAUUCAAUAAUAUAAGAAAAUAUAGUUACAAUAAUUUUCAAUUUUCACUAUUGUUAUUGUUGAUUGUAAAUUUUUCCUUAAUAAAUGACAAUUCAUGUUCAGACUCGGCUCAGUCUUUUCCGAACAUGCAAUUACAUUGAAGCCCCAAAAUACCAACUAGGGUUUUUUCAUCACUCACAUCUUUACUAUGGGUCGUAUGCACAGUCGCAGGUCUCUAUUUUCUCCAAAAAAUUUUCACAAUAUCUUUUUCAUUUUUUAAAUAUUUAUUUGUUACUUUUUUCUCGCUUUAUUUUUAAUUUUUUUUUUAACUUUUCAAAUUUUUUGUUGGUUUACAGUAAGGGUAUAUCAGCUUCAGCUCUUUCUUACAAGAGAACUCCUCCAAGUUGACUUAAGAUCUCCGCUCCUCAUGUAAAUCAUUAAACUCUUUUUUCUUUUCUUUUUUUUUUUUUGUUUUCACUCCUCUUUUUUUUUUUUUUUUUUUUUUUUUUUGUUUUCCCUCCUCUUUUUUUUUUUUUCUUAACCUCUAUUAUUUUUCUUUUUUGUCAAUCUUUAUUUUUUCUUAAUUUUUUAAAAUAAUUUUUUUAAAAAUAGGAGCGGACCCACAUGUAGUGUUUUGGGUGCUCUAGCACCAAUUGACCCAGACGAAAACUGUAUAUUCUUAAAACAAAAUUUCUGAAAAUUAGGACAUAGAGAGGAAAGAGCACCCAUAAGCCAAAACGUUGAGUGGGGGCGUUGGUUGAAAACUCGCUUUAAGAAACAUGUUGAGGGCGGGUUCGGGGUUCGAUUCUCAGUUAAAACAACCUUUUUUACUUUUUCAUACAUGACUUCUCCUCCUUUUCUCCCAUAAAACUUGUUUUCUUCUUUUUAUUUUUAAUACUUUCUUUAUUCUAAUUCGUCUUCUGUUUUUUUUUUUACUUUCUUUGUUCAUUUUUGAUUUUUCUAAAGCAAGGUUUUUUAAAUGCUUUUUCGUUAACUUUUUUUUUUAAUUAUUAUUGUAUUCAAAAAAAAUUUCUCUCAUAUUUUAUUUGCUGCAAAUUUACGUGAAAGAAAGAUCAACACCCACUAUCUUAAAAUUUUGGAUCCGUCACUAUUUGAAAACUGCUACAACUUGCCAUUAAAAACUUAAUUCAAUAAUUAUAAGAAAUUAUAGUUAUAAUAAUUUACAAUUUUCACUAUUAUUAUUGUUGACUCUAAUUUUACCCCUUAAUAGAUGACAAUCCAAGUCCAAACUCGGCUCAAUCCUUUCCAAACAUGCAAGUAAAUUGAAGCCCCAAAAUACCCACUAGAGUUUUGUCAUCACUCACAUCUUCACCAUGGGCCAUAUGCACAGUCUCGUGUCUCUAUUUUCUCCAUUUUUUUGUCAUUUUUUUAUCACUUUCUUUCUUAUUUGUUUUAAAAAAAUUUAUUUUUGAUAGGAUUUUCAGUAAAGAUAUAUCAGCUUCAGCCCUUCUUUACAAGAGAACUCCUCCAAGUUGACUUAAGAUGUCUGCUCCUAAUGUGAAUCAUUGUACUCUCUUAUUUUUCUUCUAUAUUUUAGUUUGUGUUUGAAUAUGAUUUGUUGAUAUUUGAAAAAAAAAAUUAGUAUUUGAAAUUAAGUUGAAGAAAUAUAUUUGAAAAUUGAAAUAUCGUUGGACAUACAUAUGGAAAUGUUAAAAUAUUACUUGAAAAAGUGAGGUGAAAAUUAACUAAAAUGUUUAACCAAACGUAUUUUUGGAAGUAAAGAGGAAAGAGCACCUAUAAGCCAAAACGUUGAGUGGGGCGUUGGUUGAAAACUCGCUUUAUGGAACAUGGUUGGGGGUG